rnacentral:tRNA from 1 species
UAGUUCAGUUGGUUAGAAUACCUGCCUGUCACGCAGGGGGUCGCGGGUUCGAGUCU